GUGAUAUCUUUCCAUUUGAAAUAUUUUCUCUCAUUUAUGCAGAAAUUUCAACUAUAUCCAUAGGCUUAAGCUCUUUAUUCUGUUAAGUUGCAAUUUCUCUUGGCAACUAAUUAUUGUGAUAAUAGUUCUCAUUUCUAUUUUCUCUCAUUUUUACGGAAAUUUCAACUAUAUCCAUAGGCUUAAGCUCUUUAUUCUGUUAAGUUGCAAUUUCUCUUGGCAACUAAUUAUUGUGAUAAUAGUUCUCAUUUCUAUUUUCUCUCAUUUUUACG
rnacentral:misc_RNA from 1 species